rnacentral:rRNA from 1 species
CACUAUGCGUAGCCGUAAACAUUGAUAACGCCCUAUAUUUGUUAUCCGCCCGGGAACUACGAGCGAGAGCUUAAAACCCAAGGGACUUGGCGGUGCUUUAGACCCCCCUAGAGGAGCCUGUCCUAUAACCGAUAAUCCCCGUUAAACCUCACCUCUCCUUGUUCCUUCCAGCCUAUAUACCGCCGUCGUCAGCUUACCCUGCAAAGGACCUAAAGUAAGCAAAAUUGGCUAACCCCCCAAAACGCCAGGUCGAGGUGUAGCGUAUGGAGAGGGAUGAGAUGGGCUACAUUCCAUCCCAGAUGGCACACGAACGGUUAGAUUGAAACAUCAACCUGAAGGAGGAUUUAGCAGUAAGUGGGAAAUAGAGCGUCCCACUGAAUCUGGCCCUGAAGCGCGCACACACCGCCCGUCACUCUCCCCGAAUAAAAACCUUUUUAUCCCUAAUACCAUACAACACGUAAGGGGAGGCAAGUCGUAA